AAACAACCAGGGAUGGUACGUAGCACGAGCCCCUCUAGGGUUUAAGAAAUAGACGUACUUGAAGAAGAAGAAGACAACAAUGGCGGAAGAGGAGGAACAACAAGGCUUAGGUCCAUUCAAGGAGGAGGAGGAGAAGGAGAAAGGGCAUGGAGAGAAGGCAGAGGGCCUGACGCCAUGGGAGCAGCACUCGGCGGUGAUCAGCCUCCCCCGCUACGACUACACGGCCCCCUCUUCGCUUCUCGAGCGCUCCCAUUCCGGGUUUCUCAUCACCUGCCCCAUCAAACGUGAGAAAAGUGCAACAAAGGAAGCUAUCUCCCUUCUUGAAAAGUAUGUCGGUUAUACAUGUAGCAAAGGCUGUGAAAGUUUACAGCCUUGUGAUGCAAAUGUUCCAGCAAAGAAGAGGAAAAUAUGUUCUUCCGAAAUAUGUCCAAGAAAUGGUGAAGAUGCAGAGAGAAAUGGGGAUAUCAAUAUAUUGGAAGUUUCUGGUAAACUGGAAGAAGAAGCUAGGUUAGGAUCUUCAGAGACAACUGAGAAUGUAAAAGACAGGCCUGAUCUCUCUCUGGUUAAGCUAACAGGGAGUGGGUUACUUCUCUUUACUUUUCCUAGUAAUAGCUUCCGUCAUGUUGUUGAUAUAUUGUCAGAUAUGUUUCUCUCUUUGCGAUCUGGAAAGCUAAAGCCGCCUCUUUGGUGCCAUCGUAUAUUUCCUAUUCAAGAAACUUGCCUUCUGACGGAGAAGAACCUAAAAGUAGUUAUUUCAAAGCUUGUCCAAGAAUAUUUGAGCAAUAAACAAGACAGACUUGAUGGACUUUUCAAGUUUGCAGCUGGAUAUAACAGGAGAGGCAUUGAUGAGACAGAGAUGAAGGUUCAGAAAAACACUCUAGAAGACUCGGAGGGGUUGAUUUUGUUGGAUCGAGACACAUGUUUCAAAGUGGUGGCUGGAGCAGUCAAAGCUGUUGCUAAAAAUGCCGUCGUGGAUCUUAAAUCUCCUGAGGUAGCCGUGCUUGUGGAGUUACUGCCACUUUCAGGGGUGCCGCAUGGAACAUUAGUGGUUGGAGUAUCUGUUCUUCCAGUAGUACUUGUGACUACCAAGCCACGGCUGUGUGUCAAGUCUCUGGUUGCUGAUACAAAUGUGGCAAAGAAAAGGGGCUAAACAGAGAAGAGAACAAGGAAGACAAAAUAGUGAUGAUUAUUCUCAACAUUUCAUUCUAAUUUGAGAAUCGAAAGGAAAUAUUUCAUUUUGCACUUGACGCCGGUGACAUGAAAAAUUGCUGCUGUUGCUCUCCAACUUAUUGAGGAUGACAAAAGGUUGAGACCUGUCUUUCGAAAUGGAAUGGUGCUAUUGUACACUACUCAGCUCCCCACAUCUGUGGCCACAAGAGUUUGAGGACUUGUAUUUAGGCAUGAUUUUCCAUUCAGAUGGAUAACCAUCAUGUAUCCACACUUGUUUUCACUGUUGUUCUCCCAACUCCCUGAACAAUGCUGUUUGAUUUUGAUAUGGAAAAAAAAUAAUUUCAUAGCAUAUAAUUGAAAUCUUAACAUGGAUUUUCCAUGUAUGCCAGAAAU